rnacentral:ncRNA from 1 species
UUAAAGACUAUGAAGAGGAAGAGUAGAUAGGUUACUGUUCACAGAGAGAGAAACCCAUUGGCUGAAAGGUUUCUUGGAAAAGUUUUAUUGAAAACCACCUCUGAGUUGAGUACUGAAAUUAAGUAAGUAUAGUCCGUAUAUCUGCGUUAAAGAUGUUAAGUGAUAGAAGUAUUAAGAUGCUUUGCUUCUAUAAUUUGGGUGGAACCGCGAUUAUAAUCGUCCCUUUU